rnacentral:rRNA from 1 species
GUUAUAUAGUCAAGUGAUUAAGCGUACACGGUGGAUGCCUUGGCAGCCAGAGGCGAUGAAGGACGUUGUAGCUUGCGAUAAGCUUCGGGGAGGUAGCAAACAACCUUUGAUCCGGAGAUUUCCGAAUGGGGAAACCCACCUGUCAUAAGGCAGGUAUCGCAUACUGAAUACAUAGGUAUGCGAGGCGAACGCGGGGAACUGAAACAUCUAAGUACCCGUAGGAACAGAAAUCAAUUGAGAUUCCGUCAGUAGCGGCGAGCGAACGCGGAUUAGCCCUUAAGUCUGUGAAAGAUUAGGAGAACGGUCUGGGAAGGCCGGCCAUAGUGGGUGAUAGCCCCGUAUCCGAAAAUCUGAUCAGGUGAAAUCGAGUAGGUCGGAGCACGUGAAACUCUGAUUGAACAUGGGGGGACCAUCCUCCAAGGCUAAAUACUCCUGGCUGACCGAUAGUGAACCAGUACCGUGAGGGAAAGGCGAAAAGAACCCCGGAGAGGGGAGUGAAAUAGAACCUGAAACCGUGUACGUACAAGCAGUCGGAGCCCUCUUUGUGGGGUGACGGCGUACCUUUUGUAUAAUGGGUCAGCGACUUAAUUUCAGUAGCGAGGUUAACCGUUUAGGGGAGCCGUAGGGAAACCGAGUCUUAAUAGGGCGUUUAGUUGCUGGGAUUAGACCCGAAACCGGGCGAUCUAUCCAUGGGCAGGUUGAAGAUGCGGUAACACGCAUUGGAGGACCGAACCGACUACCGUUGAAAAGUUAGCGGAUGACCUGUGGAUCGGAGUGAAAGGCUAAUCAAGCUCGGAGAUAGCUGGUUCUCCCCGAAAGCUAUUUAGGUAGCGCCUCGGACGAAUACCACUGGGGGUAGAGCACUGUUUCGGCUAGGGGGUCAUCCCGACUUACCAAACCGAUGCAAACUCCGAAUACCAGUGAGUACUAUCCGGGAGACACACGGCGGGUGCUAACGUCCGUCGUGAAGAGGGAAACAACCCAGACCGCCAGCUAAGGUCCCCAAAUUCCAGUUAAGUGGGAAACGAUGUGGGAAGGCUCAGACAGCUAGGAGGUUGGCUUAGAAGCAGCCACCCUUUAAAGAAAGCGUAAUAGCUCACUAGUCGAGUCGGCCUGCGCGGAAGAUGUAACGGGGCUCAAACUGGAUACCGAAGCUGCGGCAGCAGACUUGUUCUGCUGGGUAGGGGAGCGUUGUGUAAGCCUGUGAAGGUGUGUUGAGAAGCAUGCUGGAGGUAUCACAAGUGCGAAUGCUGACGUGAGUAACGAUAAUGGGGGUGAAAAACCCCCACGCCGAAAGACCAAGGUUUCCUGCGCAACGCUAAUCGGCGCAGGGUGAGUCGG